CUUUGCCUUAAUUACUCCUAUUAAAGAACUCCCUUUCCGGCAAGAACAUAGCCUUGUCUCCGCAUUAAGUUCUCCUAGAGUUUCUUCACUUUCUUCUUGGUCACUGAAGAGAAUCAAGAAAUGGGUAGGGAAGGCAUAGAAGAAGGAGAAAUAUCGAGCUCUCUGCUUGUCAAAGAUAGAUCUCAGAUACGUGGAAGAGAUGAUGC
rnacentral:misc_RNA from 1 species